GAUGAACGCUGGCGGCGUGCCUAAUACAUGCAAGUCGAGCGAAUGGAUUAAGAGCUUGCUCUUAUGAAGUUAGCGGCGGACGGGUGAGUAACACGUGGGUAACCUGCCCAUAAGACUGGGAUAACUCCGGGAAACCGGGGCUAAUACCGGAUAACAUUUUGAACCGCAUGGUUCGAAAUUGAAAGGCGGCUUCGGCUGUCACUUAUGGCUGGACCCGCGUCGCAUUAGCUAGUGGGUGAGGGAACGGCUCACCAAGGCAACGAUGCGUAGCCGACCUGAGAGGGUGAUCGGCCACACUGGGACUGAGACACGGCCCAGACUCCUACGGGAGGCAGCAGUAGGGAAUCUUCCGCAAUGGACGAAAGUCUGACGGAGCAACGCCGCGUGAGUGAUGAAGGCUUUCGGGUCGUAAAACUCUGUUGUUAGGGAAGAGCAAGUGCUAGUUGAAUAAGCUGGCACCUUGACGGUACCUAACCAGAAAGCCACGGCUAACUACGUGCCAGCCGCCGCGGUAA
rnacentral:rRNA from 1 species